UACGGAGGGUGCGAGCGUUAAUCGGAAUUACUGGGCGUAAGGCGCGCGUAGGCGGUUUGUUAAGUCAGCUGUGAAAGCCCCGGGCUCAACCUGGGAACUGCAGUUGAUACUGUCCGACUAGAGUACGAGAGAGGGAGGUAGAAUUCCAUGUGUAGCGGUGAAAUGCGUAGAUAUAUGGAGGAAUACCAGUGGCGAAGGCGGCCUCCUGGCUCGAUACUGACGCUGAGGUGCGAAAGCGUGGGGAUCAAACAGG
rnacentral:rRNA from 1 species